rnacentral:misc_RNA from 1 species
AAGUCGUAACAAGGUCUCCGUAGGUGAACCUGCUGAGGGAUCAUUACCGAGAGAGGGCUGUGCGCCCGACCUCCCACCAUUGGUACGCCCGUCUCUAGCCUCGGGGUGACCCGGCCCCUUGUCGGGCCGCGGGCCCCCGGGGUCACCCGACCUGACCCUGUCUUUGAUGUCAUGAGGGAGAAUAUUCAAUUUAGUAAAACUUUCAACAACGGAUCUCUUGGUUCUG